CCAUUCCUCAAACCAUGACCUAGACCCUUGAGGAACCUACAGAGUCCUGAUCUUUCCCAUCCUGGGGACUUCAGACACACAUUCUAAAAUGUGUGAGUCAAACGAUAGAUGGUUCGUGAGACCUGGCAGCCCUUUCUGUCAUCUUUUCAGUUCUAUCCCAGGUGUAAAGUAAGCUCUCGCAUUUACUAGGUGUUUGUUUCUAACUGCUGUGUACUGGUAACUUCGAAAACUGUGAGUAAGCUACUCCACCUACUGGGCAUCUCUUAAAUUACAUCAAAGGUUCUAAGGAAGGAGGAUAGAGGCUUGGAGAUGGUCUUUGAGAUUCUGGAGCACACACAUAUGUCCAAAUCCACUUGCUCCCUUCGUUCUGAAUGCUGCAAGUUUUUCCUCCACUGUGUGUUUCUCUUGUUUAUUACUGCGAGCUCAACUUUUACUUAGCAGUUUUCUAACUUCCCUUCU